UACGUAGGGGCGAGCGUUGUCCGGAUUUAUUGGGCGUAAAGAGCGUGUAGGCGGUUCGGUAAGUCUGUCGUGAAUCCUGAGGCUCAACCUCGGGCGUGCGAUGGAUACUGCCGUUCUUGAGGGAUGCAGAGGAGAUUGGAAUUCCGGUGUAGCGGUGAAAUGUGUAGGAGAUCGGGAGGAACACCGGUGGCGAAGGCGGGUCUCUGGGCAUCUCCUGACGCUGAGGCGCGAAAGCGUGGGGAGCAAACGGG
rnacentral:rRNA from 1 species